rnacentral:rRNA from 1 species
UACGUAGGGCGCAAGCGUUUAUCCGGAAUUAUUGGGCGUAAAGAGCUCGUAGGCGGUUUGUCGCGUCUGCCGUGAAAGUCCGGGGCUCAACUCCGGAUCUGCGGUGGGUACGGGCAGACUAGAGUGAUGUAGGGGGAGACUGGAAUUCCUGGUGUAGCGGUGAAAUGCGCAGAUAUCAAGAGGAACACCUGAGGUGAAGACGGGUUGCUGGGCUGACACUGACGCUGAGGCGCGAAAGCCAGGGGAGCAAACGGGG